GGGUAGUUAGCUCAACUGGUUAGAGCAUUCGCUUGACGUGCGAAAGGUUAUAGGUUCGAGUCCUAUACUACCCA
rnacentral:tRNA from 1 species